rnacentral:lncRNA from 1 species
UUUUUUUUUUUUUGUUGAUACGAUAAAUUAUUCUACACUAGGGAGAGGACUUGAAAAGGUCCAAGAAUAAUUUGGAGAGAAUUGAACCAUUAUCAGACGAGUGCACUACACAUUCGCUAGCAUUUUUUAAGCAGAACCACUUUAACAUGACAAAUUGAUGGGAUGCAAGGUUUGAUACAUUGGUGGUGGCUUGCCUCCCACGCCACCGAGCCUUAAUGCAUUAGUGGUGGCAAAGGCUGGUGGUUAUCCUCUCUACUGCCAAUAUGUUGAAUUCUGCUAUGUAGGUGAUGCCUGGAGACCAAGAGGCCAGUAGUUUGCUUUGCGCAGGUCCUUCAAAAUCUUCUAGAGUUUUAAGGGCCUGUUUGGCACCCCAGUUUUUUACCAAGUUUUUUACCUACUAGUUUUUUAACAACUUUUGCUACAGGAACCCCAAAAAACUUUCCAAAGUUUUUUAUCUACACAUUUCAAAAAUCUAUACACAAAAAAUUUCCCAAAAACUUUCCUUCCUCCCUCACCCAACCCACCACACCAGCCACCACCUCUACCACCUCUCCCGACGCCAGUAACCUCAAAAAAAAUUUUUGAGUCCCUCACCCUCACCCCCUCUCCUUCCCUCCCCUCUUCCCCUCUCCCUCCCCCGCCACCCUCUCCCUCCUGCUAGGUACGAUAGGGGAGAGGGAGGGGGCUGCGAUCUGGUCGCGGUCUGGUCCCAGAUCGCAAAGCAGAGAGGGAGAGGGUGGCGGAGGAGGGAGAGGGGAAGAGGGAAGGUAGGGAGGGAGAGGGGAAGAGGGAAGGGAGGGAGGGAGAGACAAAGCAAAAAAAAAAUAAUAAUGCACAGCUGCCGGCCUUCCUCGGGCGUCGGAGUGCGAGGGAGAGGGAAGAGGGGAGGAAAGGGGGAGAGUGGGCAGAGAGGGUGGCGGGCCUAGGGGGUAGCGGGCAGAGAGGAGAAGAAAUGAAUGGUGGAAAAGUUUAGGGGUGGCGGGGGAGGGAGAGGGACGGGGGAGAGGAGAAAAGCAAAAAGAAAAAAAAAGAAGAACAGAGGUGGGAGGCAGAGGAGAGGUAAUGGGGAAGGGGGAGGGGAAAGGAAGAAGAAGAAGAAGAGGAGAGGAAAGAAAAGAAAAAGGAAAGAAAGAAAAAGAAAAAGAAAGAGAAAGAGAAAAAAAGUUUUUCACCUUACAAAAACUUCUACAAAAUUUUUUCAAAAACUUCUACAGUGCACUACAGUAAAGUUUUAGACAAACUCCCAAAAAAUUCAGGUUCCAAAGAGGCCCAAAUUGUGAUGACUCGUAAAAUUUCUUAUAUUUUUAUUAAAAUUCCCUUUAGUUUGAAAUUUUUUACUUUACAAAACUUUUAAUACACAUUCACUUCCCCAAUAGCUACAAAUAAUCAUAAAAACAAGGGUUUUCCUUUUUACUUUCAUCGUUACGAUAAAUUAGGGUUUUUACGCCUUUUCGUCGUGUGAUUAUUCGGUACGGAGUGUGGAUAAAAUUUGGUGAUUAAGAAUGAGUUUUAGAUGAUAUUAAGUGUGGGAUUAGAAGUAAUAAUAAUGAGGUAGUAAAUUAUAAGUUAAAACCCUAGUAUACGCGAUUUAAGGAAAAAACAAUUCGGACCGACGGGUGUCGCGCGCUACUGAUUGAACACACCACUUGAACACUACUCUAUUACCUCAAUCUCCUUACUUUUAUUUCAGCAAAAAUCAUCCCAAAAUACCCUUCAAGGCAGCUGAAAUUCUUGACUCCAAGAGAGAGAGAAAAGAAAAAAAAUUGUGAGAACCUAAGUGUGACAAGUGUUGGCCAUUUAAGGCCCUUUGACCAAGCCAACUUUCUUACCUUCUUAUCUUCAUUUUAGCUCAUUUCUUCACCAUUUUUUUUCUUGUUUGGCCAAGAGCAAGGAGAGGGAGAAAGAGUGAAGAGAAUUUCUAUUUCCAACCUCAAAUCAAGAGUUGAGAGUGAAACCAAGAAAAACUAAAUUGAUUAACUUGUAGGUUGAGAGUUGGGGAAGCUUAAGGACCCAAAAAUUUCAAGGAGAAGUGGAGGAUAACUCUAGCAAACUUUGUUUUUGAGGUAAUAUGGCUGACCACCCCUUUCUUUUUCCUUAAUCAUGUUGGAGUUGCUUAGUAGCUUGUAUUUGUGGUUGUAAUGCUUAUAUCAAGUGAUUUUGGAUGGUUGGGGGUGAUGAAUUUGAGUUUGGGUUUGAAUGAUUCACUUAUCAUACUUGUUGUAUGGGUGGUAUAUGAUGUAUAUAAGUUGGUAUAAGAGGUGGUAGUGAUAGUUUCAAGCUAAAAAUGAGAUUUAUACCUUGAUUGUAGCAAAUUUCCAGAAUUGAAGUUAAAGUAUACCCUGUUCUGCCCUGUUCUAGUUCACUAUGUUAGAGGCCGAAUUAGGCUUAACCUAAAACAUAAAAGUUGUAUAGAAUGAUAUUUUAUAGCUGCCUGCAAAAUUUCAGCUCAAUCAGAGCAAUGUAGCCUAUGAAAAGACCGAAAUACCCUGACUGCCCUAGGUGAAUCCAGUGAUCAGUUUUGGAUAUUUUACCAAUCUGGUCGUGUCUUUUCACCAUAAUAUGUACUAAACUAGUAUUUAUCCAAAACAUGAAAUUUGUAGUACUAUGUUUUAACUUUCCAACGCCCCUGAGAACGCCUUAAUCGGACUUCGGUAGCUUGAGUUAUGGUCAUUUGAAUGUAGUGCAGUUAACUAGCCUAUUGGUAGGAAUCCGGUUUGUAAAUUGGGAAUCUGACUUGGAUACACUAGAAACUGGACUAAGUGGUCUUCAUCAAAGUUGUAAGCCUUUGUCUUAGAUUCGAAAUGGUAUAAAUUACACCCCAAUCUGAUAAGGGUAUCUUCGGUUGUGUCCGUUCCGCUAAGCGACAUCAAAUCUGUCUUUUGUUUUUUGACUUAAAUUUCAUUUCCGGACAUUUUCCUAACUUGAUUUUGUACUUGUAUGACUUUGAACCUAUUGAAUGGCUAUUGAAAUGAAAUUAUUUUGUGAGUGACUUUGGGACUGAUUGAGGAAAAGAAUGAAGCCAUAAAUGGCUGAAAAAUAGGUAAAUACAAAGGACGUGCUGCCCAAAUUUACGCUCGAAGACUAGGUAGAUAUACUUGUGACUUGAGUAAGGUUUGAGAGCGAAUACCACGUGAACCAUCUAGGAUAUUUGCGUCUUCUUUUAUCGAGGUAUAUAAGUUAGAACUUGGCCGAACUUGUACCCUUGAGAAAAUGGAAAUAACGACUACUUGAAAUAUGUUUUCCUCGUUCUUUUGACUCCAAUGGGAGUUCUAAAAUUUUAACCGCUUCCUUAUCGAAACUAAACAAGCGAGUAUGAAUUUUCUGGGAUUUGAUAAGUAUCCGGAAUACUACAUAACGAGUUACAUUUACUUAAUUUUCUUGAAGCGAAACUCCUAUGUUUCAAAUUCUAGAAAGGUUUACAUUCGUAAAUGAUAUUUUAUCGCAGAUUUGGACUCCAACCAAGGAGUUGGACCGGAACGUGAUUUUUGAGAGGCACAAGACUUUUGGUGAGUGCUUCCAAAUAUCUGAUUGAACUUGAAACUUGGUUUCACUACUUGACUAAUGUGAUCGAAUGAUAUGUGAUUGGUAUGGUCGGACAAGAGUGUACUUUAUCGCACUUGCCAUAAUGUGAUAUGUACUCGUUUAUUAUUGCAAUUGACUUGAUAUACUUGUGCUUGACUUGUAAGUACUGAGCGGCAGUAUGUACCACACUCGAUCCGAGUGGGAGGUACCUCUCAUUUCCGUCUCCGUACUUUUAUCUUGAUUCAGUCGAUUGGAGAGGUUAUCUCAUCGAAUUCUUGGGGACCUAAACCCCAUUGGCUAGUUAAUCGAGUCAAGUCGGCAAGGGAUUGGUCGAUUAGAUAACAAACCAUGGGUAGUUAGUGAUGUCGAGUGGAGUGUUAUCUUCUCGACUAAUCGGUAUACUCGAGUAUUACCACCAGUGCUUAGUUGGUAUUUGGGCCCGGCAAGGGGGUUGAAUGGUGGACGGAUUGGAGUUAAACGAAAUACUACUGGAUUGGUUACUUUACGUGAAAGUUGACAGAGUGUCAACUGAUACUUGAUCAAGCUCUGGUGAAGCAACGAGAAUUUGGCUCUUGAGAGCCAUCUGUAUCCUUAUAUUUUGAUUGUUAUUCGUAGUGUUAUUGUUUCUUUUAGAAAAAGAAUUUUACACUCGUUCAUUUUGAGAUUGCUACUUGAAGUGUUAUCGCUCACUUUUAUGAACUCUUCAUAUUCGUUACUUUGCUACAUUGGAAACUUGUACGUAUAAAUAAUGGUCAAUUUGCUAUUUGGAACCUCACUGGAUUUUUAGUUCAUUCCACGCUAUUUGUUUUCCUUACAGGGGUACGAAUGAGGCGUGAGACGUGUAUAGACUAGCGUAGUCUAGUUGUUUUGACUUUUGUAAUUGUACUCACACUAGUCGCUCGAUUAGGGUUGAAUGUACUGAGAAUUUAAAUCUUUUGAAGUAUUUGGGACUGUAUGGAUGGUUGAGAUAGAAAUGAAUGUAUACGUGUGUUCCAAACUUGGGAACUAUUAUUUCGUUUAUUUUUUAGAGUGCAUCUUAGUUUAUUUGAUGUGAGUGAGUGAGUCCUGACGAGAGUUGGAUAAGCGGUCCGCUAAACCCUAGGGUACGCUCAGGGGAAGGUGGGGCCGUCACACAAAUCCAUUAAAGUAGGAAGAAAGAACCAGAAAAAAAAAACACCCAAAAAAAAGGAAAAAACAGAGAAAAGAAAAGCCCAAAAAGGGAGUCCGAGGAGUAGGAGCAAGGAGCUGCGCUGCUGGUGCUAUUGACGGAGUCCACGAUCACAGCCACCACUACCGUGGGUCAUAACUGGAAAAGCACUAUGAAACUUCGUUGCUCCAUAUGUUGUUUGAAUUUUUCUCUCACCUGUUUGAUAUUAUGUUCAAGAAUUUGGCUUCUUCGCUGUAUCGAUGAAUCUCCCUUCCCUUUAAAUUUCCCUUUUGCUUGUUGUCUAUGAUAUGAUUUGUCUAUGGUGGAAUGGGAUUUAGGUGGACUGACAUUCGUUAUUUGUGUAAGCGGCACCUCAAUUAGACCUAGAUUUGUAAAGUUUUGUUGCGCCAAUAAUGGCCCCAAAUGAGAAAUUGAGUUAUAUGGACAAAUUGAUGAAUCUGAGCAUGUGGGGGAGCAAUUCCGAUCAAUUGAAAGUUGAUCGGAGAUCGUGAACGAUGCCGGAAAACCAAGAGGGCCGAGAGAGAACGUUUGAUUUUUUUAAAAAUUAUUUUUAUUUUUAUGUUUUGCUGCAUUUUCUGAGCGGAUCUAGCUAUGUGAUAGUGUGAGAUGUUCGUGUGCAAGAGAGAGAGGAGCCACAGAGUUGUUGUCAUCGGAAGCCGGCGAACUUCAUGAGACGAGAGGAAACAGAGCAGCAACAGUUCUUCUGAAUUGAGGAAGAAGAUGAUGUAUUUCUGGAGAUUUACAAUUUCAGUCCCUAAAUUUCCCUUUCUUUGUGACUUAGCCCCAAUUUUUAGGACUUUAUAAUUUGUCCCCUGGAGCUUGCUUUAGGUAGUUUGGAUUAAGUUCCUAGAAGGGAAAAUCGUUCAAAACGUCCCUCACUUUUAAAAGUGUAAUUUUACGUCCCUUACAAAUUCAUAUUGAUCAAAUUUGGUCCCUACCUAGGUUUUUGACUAGUUUUUGGUCAGAAUUCACCACGUGACUUGCAUGUAAUCAUUUUUUAUAGGCAAAAUUGUCAAAUCAAAUGUUUACAUAAUCUGAUUCAUAGUUCCUAACAUUUUACAAAAUGAAUUUUUUCGUCCCUAACAUUUUACAAAAUGAAUUGUUUCGUUCCUCACAUUUCAAAAAAUGAAUUUUCCAUCCCUCAUAUUUUUCAAAAUGAAUUUUUUCAUCUCUGAUUGAUCAUGUGUAUGAAUAGUUUUUUUCUAUAAACCCACGUAUAUGUCUAUUUGAUUUUAUCUGAACAGUAUGAAUAACAUGUAAUUUAUUUCUAUUGGAUUUCAUCUAAACAUGCUAAUCGUAGUUAUACACAUGCUAUUCAAUAAAUAUAUAUAGGGGUUUAAAACUAAUAAUUUUGUUUGAACUCACGUAUAUAUUUAUAUAAUUUCACCAUUUGAACCUAUUCAAUAUUUGUGACAUUUCUCUUUUUGGUAAUAAUUUAUUUAUUGAAUUGUAUAAUAAGGUCAUCUAAUUAAUGAGUCAUAAGUCGAAUUCUAUAAUUGUGCUAAUAAAUUUCAGUUUAAAUAUGAAAUUUCUACUCGACACUUUUAAGACCAAUAAUUAAAUUACUUACCUUGUAAUUGUCUUAAAAUUUGAAAAUGCCAAUCACUUAUUUCUUUUUGUCAUACUUUUCUUUUGUUUAUUUUUUUUGUCCAAAUUUAAUUCGAUAUAACACUCGAUAAUAUUUAGGAUUAAAUGUCUUCCUUAUUUUCAAAUUUCGAGUAAAAGAAAAUGAAUAUAAGUGAAAAACUAAUAAUUUUUUUAAACCCAUGUAUAUAUCUAUUUGAUUUCAUUUGAGCAGUACGAAUAGUAUGUAAUAUAUCUCUAUUUGAUUUCACAUGUUAUUCGUACUGUUCAAGUGAAAUCAAAUAGAUAUAUACAUGAAUUUAAAAUAAAUUAUUCACACACAUGAUCAAUAAAAAAUGAAAAAAUUCAUUUUGAAAAAUGUGAAGGAUGAAAAAAUUCAUUUUGUGAAAUGUAAGGGACGAAAAAAUUUAUUUUAUGAAAUGUGAGGGAUUAUGAAUCGAAUUAUAUAAAAUUUGAUUUGAUAAUUUUGCCCUUAAAAUAUGAUCACGUGCAAGGCACGUGGUGAAUUCCGACAAAAAACUAGUCAAAAACCUAAGUAGGGACCAAAUUUGACCAAUGUGAAUUUGUAAGGGAUAUAAAAUUAUAUUUUUAAAAGUAAGGGAAGAAAAAAGUUAUUUUGUAAAAUGUGAGGGACGUUUUGAACGAUUUUCCCUUCCUAGAAUUGAACUAGUUAACUAUUAGUUUAAAUAGCAUUUCAAUUGGUCAAGUUGUAGUUAAUUUUAUUUUCUCUUUUUAGGAAUAAUGUAACCCUUAACCGGCAUAGGUGCUCGUAAUUUUUGUAUUCUUUUUCUUUUCUUUUCACUUAAUUACUUUUUAUUUUGUUAUUAUUGUGGAAUGAGAUCAUGUGGGCCGCAGGUGCGUUGUCGCUUGGCUUUUCCAAUUCCAAUGGAAGCUUUGGAAUUAAUCAUUCUGUUUUACUUCACUCUUAAGGUGCUGUACAUGUUUUUAUGUGUUUAGAUAUUAGUUAAUUACAUGUUAUGUGCUUAGCUUAAACUUAGUCAUUUUGGCCUUAAAAUUAAGAGAAUAAGAUUAAACUCGCAACCCAUUUUGCCGAACCGUCAAAAAAGGGGACCAGAGCAGUGAAUUUGGCCAGAAUUCCUAGAGCUUUGUAUAGUUAUAGAAGAAGAAAAUUAAAAACAAAAGAAGCAUUUUUCAGAAAAAACCCAAAUUCCUCCGUGAAACUAAUGCCACAAUUCUCAAGAAUUAUAGCAAUAAAAUAACAAAAAAAAGAUCGAUAGAAUCCUAGACUGGAGAAACCAAUUUUAUCAGAUUUUUUUGGGAAAAAAAUAAAAGAUAUUUAAGAUAAAACCCUAAAUAAGAAUCUCACCAAGGCACUUUGCCAGAGUUGGAGAUGGUUGCCGUCAGAAAUAAUUAUAUUGGUGGUGAUUUUUCAAUCUCUCCAAUCUCCAUCGCUCACUUUCUGUAUCUUUAGCCGCAAAUUCUUUCUUUGUUUUUGUUAGAAUGUGGGAGUAGCGAGCUCUAUUGUAAAGAGCCAUGCAUUUCAAUGAAGGAAAAUAACUUCAGUAACUCAAAGGAGGAAGUUAUUUUCCACCAAGUGAAGUUAUUUUCUUCAGUAACUCAAAAGAGCCGUGCGUUUCAAUGAAGAAAAAUAACUUCAGUAACUCAAAAGAGGAAAUUAUUUUCCACCAAGUGAAGUAAAAUAGUUUCUCCACAGAAAUUUUUUUUUCCAAGUUAAAUGAUUACCAAACACAGGAAAAUUUGGAAAACAUUUUGAGGAAAACAUUUUAUGUCCAAACAAACACACCCUGAGUGAUAAGUGAAUAGUUUAUCAUUUAUUUUUGGAAGUAAAUUUUGCCUAAAAAAUUCAAUGUCAUUUAAUUAAUUUAAAUGUUUAAUUUUUGGUUAUGAAACACGUGUGAACAUAUUAAAAUCUGAAACCAUUAAUUUUAAGUGAUAAAUUGGAUUAUUAAACAAGGCCUUAGUCAUAGUGUAGUAUCAAUUCAACGAUUCGUAAGUUUCACUUAUAAGAAUUUAUAAAGACAUGAUUUUUUUUGUGUGUUGGGGGAGGGGGAGGGGGGAGGGGGGAGGGGGGAUGUUAAAGAGGAGACUCCAGAUUUCGCAAAACAGUCUCAAGAUAUGUUCACGUGGGUAAAAAAGAUAACUCAAUUAAAUGGUUGAAAGACAAACUAAACUAUUUGAUACUCGAAUCAAAUUUGGUUUGGUAAGAGUUCAUUUUAACUUGAUUCGCUAAUUAAUCAAACCUACUAAAUAGCAUUUCAUGUUCGAUGAACUUUCAAAUUCGAUUCGAGCUUACUUUGAUUAACUUAAAAUUGGAUUUUUUAGGUAAAAAUUCAAACUAUUCAAACUUGACUCAAUAAAAGCUUGUUUAAAUUCGACUUAAAAAAUAAACAAACCAAAAUUGAACACCAAGGUGUUUGAUUUCAUUAAACUCAUUUACAGCCAUAUGGAUUGAACUUUUAAUAGGUGCAGCAUCAGUCCAAGCCACUCAAGACACUUGUUAACUGAGGUAUGGGUGCAACAUAAAAUUUCUGCUUUACCCUCUAAAAUUACUUUCUUUUAGUGUAUUCUAUUUCUACCCUCUCCACCCCCACACACCCCCCCUUCCCCCCAUCCCCCAAAUACAAAUUUAAAAUUGUAGUUUAUCUUUUGUAUUUCUCAUAUUCAAAACUCAACGCGGUAAUGGAUUCUGAUCUUGAAUUCAGCAAUAUGUAUCGAUCAUUCCAAUCAAUACCCCGGUCGAUUCAUCACCAUUUACGACAACAAAAAAGAUAUUGAGAAUCUUACUUCAAAACCUAUGACAAAAAUCAAAAUAUGCCAUUUCAAACUAUGGUAUCUAUAUUGGUAGCUAGGAAGAGAAUUACAACCAUCGCAACAGACAAUAGCCAAGGGAGGGAGUGUAAGGUAUAUCGGUGUGGAGAAGAUGUCCAGAUGAGAAUCACAACCAAACAAUAACCUUACCACUUUGGUGACAAACCAUUUGAUGAAUUAACUACAUAAUUGAACACUUCAAUCAAGCGAAUCAUAAAGGUCCUUCCUACUGUCAAUAUCUUAAAUUCUGCUAUUAUAUUUGAUCCCCGGAGACCAGAAGGCCAUUAAUUUGCUUGGCUCAGGCUUCCAACGUGUACAACGGUAUGGAAGAAUUUAGGCAUCCCUUUAAACCUUAGAUCCUUAAACAUUCGACUCUCAGGAUUGUAAGAAACUAGGGCUCCCCAUCUGUACUGCAGCAAAAUUUCGCCAUUUUUCAGAAGGCAAAGAACCCGGGCAAAUCGUUCAUCAAGUACAUUCUUCCAAAUCCUGUAUUUUUGCUGCAUUUCUGGUGACUGAAAUGUCGUCACAUAAUAAACCCCAAUGCUGAAAACUUUCUCCCAGGACUCUUUCACCCCGUAUUGUUUCAUAAUCCAAAUGUCUUGAGCCCCGUAAUUAGUAUUUGAAGGAUCAACAACAGCCAGAAAACCUCCGAGAACACUGAGAGAAUACCGGUGUCGGAUUAAGUAAAGAUGAUUUUCUGGCAGUGGGACUUCUCUAAAAAGCUCAUCAGAUAAAUCAAAUGACACCAGAAUCCGUUCCCGACGAGCAUGAUUCUUUCCCCAUAUACUCACCCAGUGAAGCCUUCCGUUUACAAAAACUCCCCCUGAUGACUGAUCUAGCUUGUAAGGUAUGUCUCCAAUAAUAACUCUCCAUUUUUCACUGCUCUGAUAGAAUACUUGAACCUCUGAUCUUGGAAAAUUUUGAGCCCUGAAUCUCAGCGAUCUGAGUGGAGAUAAUUCAUAUAAAUUCCAGUAGUAGACUAUCCUUACUACGCGAUAUUCAUUGGUAUGAGGAUGAACUCCGAAUCCUAUUAUCACUUCUUGGUCCUGGAAUUCAGUGGAUUUUGGUAACACUUUAUAGUCUCGGGUAAAGGGAUUAUAAACGUAUGGUCCAUCAUUGACCAAAGUACUCGACAAGCAUAGCAGGCCAUUACACGAGCUAACAAUUCGAAAUUCAGGCAAAGUACUAGAAAAGGGAGUAUGAAUUCUUCUGAGUACAUUUUUUUCAUGAUCUUGAUGAGAAAAUUCAACAAAAUAAAGCUGAUUGUUCACUGGAAAAUCACAAUGAAAGAUGAGGGCUAUGUCGUUGUUUUUUAAUGCUCUGGUGAGAUGCAAAUUAGCAAGAUCUUGAUCAAGUGACAACUUGUGGCAACUUCGACAAACAUACCUGAAUUGGAUGACGGAUUUUACGUGUAGUCUGGAAAUUAUGUCGAGGGCGAUUUCUUGAGGUAGACUAUAAAGAUUAUUUCCAGGCUGAUGAUGUUCUUUUGGAGUUGAUUUUCUUCUCUUGGAUUCUCUCUCAAUUUCCAUGUCGUCUUCCAUGAUGGUAGUAGAAAAUGUGAACGUUUCAAGGUUUGAGGUGGCGGCUAGACUGCUUUAGGUCACUUGGACUUAAUUAUAAGGGUUAAUUGCACUUACUUCCCUCGAGCUUUGUCCAUAUUACCAAACAAACCUUGUAGUUUGUCCAAAUAACAUUUACCCCCUUGUCAUUGACGGUUCAUAAACUCUGUUAACUGAUGUCACAAGAUGAUAAAAUUGCCCUUCAAAACAAAAACAAGAUUAUUGUUAUAAAAGAACUUAAUAUUUAGGCAUAAAAAAAAUGUCCAAAGGAGAAAUGAAGUAUCUUAGUAAGCAAAGCUAAAGAAAAAGAAAGAUAGUAACAUUAAGAGUAAAAAAUUUGCUGCAAAAAAAAUUAAGAAAAUGAAGAAAAAUACAUGUUGAGAGAUAUCAAACAGACAAAGAGUAACUAUGAAAAAAAAAGAAAGUAAAAUAUAAAUAAAUUAGCGACUGCCUAUUUAAUAAAUAAAAAAAAUAUAAUUGAGAGGGAUACUGAAGCAUCGAUCUUCUUUUGCCUUUAUCAACUCUCUCCACUAGCUCCCAACACAAUUUGCCUCCAUCUCUUUACCUCAACAGACACCCCCUUCUUCAUCUUCUCUGCUACUACACAUGCACACUAAGAGAUUAGCAGUUUGACACUCUCAAAUACACCUUUUGAAAGAAAAAGAUUGUAUUCCACUAGUAUCUAGCGAGAGACUGUAAGGAUUGGAAAGGCCAAAAUAGGAGAAAGUAAUUAUAAUUUAUGGACUCUAUCUUGGUGUUGGCAUAACAAGGUCUAGAUCAGUUUGAGACCUUAUGACGAUAAGUUUAUGCUUUCAGUUAUUGAUUUGAGUUUGUUGGUGGUUAAAUGUAAGGCUAUAAGUUAUGCAUAUUUUGUGAUGUUUUAUGGAGCUUUUCUUUUUUCUCCCCCUAUUUUUUCACCUUUAUCAUGGGAACUGAGUUUUUCUUUUUUCUUUUUUUUUUGUGCAAAGGUGAAAAUUUCUACGAGCCUAACAUUGAUUGUAAUUUUUGUGGGAGUUACUACUUUGAAGAUAUAAAGGUAUUUGAACCCCCAAAAAAAAAAAAAAGAUUCAAGUGAUGGACAUGGAAUUAUUGGCUGCCAGUAGUUGAAAUCUCAAACUAGUAUAGAGAAAGCAGGGAGAAGAAGACAAAGUAGGGUUUUGAGGUUAAUUUUGGACUUUCACGAAAAUUUCAUGUUGACAUCCUUCACUGUGUAUCAGUCAACGUUAGCAAUAUAACGAUAAGAGUUACUUGUUAUGCAUUAAACAGCCUGAGGGACCUUUUUGUAGUUUGUCCAAGCUUGAGGGUUUGAUUCGUAGUUUGGUUAAAUCUCAAGGGAGGUAAACGUAAUUAACUCUAAUUAUAAUGCUAGUAGGAAAAACUUGGGGGAGACGUUGAUUUGACUCAUUAAUUGGACCGUAAUCGGUGUUUUUUUUUUUGCUAUUUGUCGGUAUUGAAGUAUCAAGAGAAGGAGAGAGAAUACGCUUUGUUCAUGGAAUGAUGAUGCAAGGUUUGAUGCUAUUACGGAGUGUGGGAAUCCACAGCAUGGUGCUCUAUUUUAUUUCAGGAUUAAUUGCAACUUAGAUUCCUAUACUAUAUUGGGGCUAUACUUUUGCACCCUAAAAUUUUUGCAUCUUUUUAAAUUAGAGUUUUUCUAUUUGCAAUAAUGACUUUAAAAUUUGCUAAUUGCAAGUGUGUCUAUGAUAUGCUUCUUGAAAUGGUGAUUUUAUGUCCCUUUACCAACAACCUUUUGGUAAAAUAGUUCACUAUAUUGAUCUUUUACUAGGUCAUAUUCCAUUUUAUUGUUAGAGUUCAUCCAUUAUUUCUAUUUAGCAAGCAACUAAAAUUUGCAUCCUCUAUAUUCUAAAUGUCUUUACUUGGUUUUUGUGGGUUUUUCAUAGAGUGAAUAUAUGCAAAAAGAUAAAAGUAUUUUCUAAAAGAAAACAGUAUGAAGAUGUGGAACUAAAGUAUGGCCAUACUUGAGAAUUGGUUUCCUCUUCGCAAAACUACUGAAAUUUUGCCACAUUGCAUUUAUAACUUUUAACCUCCUUGUUAUUUGCAUUCAUAACUAUCGCUAAGAACCACACUACAUGGUAGGAGGCGUAAAAAAUGGAUGACUUAAGCAGGUUCGGAUAGGUUAUAAUUGAGUAAUGGAUAUAAUUGAAUCAACUCAUCUAUACCGAUUUAAUAAAUGAAUCAAAUGAGUCAACUCAUUUAUAUUCAUUCAAUAAAUGAGUAUGGGUAUAUAACUAAUUACUCAUUUAUGACCCACUUGAAUUUUUACUUGCUCUUUUUUUCUUGUUCUUUUGGAUGUUGUUUCAUAAGAAAUAACAAUAUUUUAUUAUUAUUGGAUUGAUAAGAAAUUCAAAUUUAUCCGUUUAACAUCCACCAAAGCUUGGGAUUAAAUAUCCAAUUAUUUUUAAAUGUAUAUAGAUGGUUUUGAGUCAAUCUAUUACCUACCAAUUAUUUUUAAUUGAGUUUAAUUGAGUCAUAAAUCUAAACCCUUUCAAAAUUCACUGCAUACCCAAAUUCACUUAUUAGUGGGCGAGUUUGGACAAGUCAAUAUUACAACUACUUUGAUACCUAUAGUACAAGGUGUGACUCCAUUAAAGUCACCAUACGGAUUAGCAAAUUUGAAGUUGCUGAUUGAAACAGCGACUUUAAAUGGAUAUUUCAAAUGGCAAAUUUUUUUUUUGGAAGGCUAAAACAUGCUGGACUUGUUUCGAAUUAUCAAUAAAUAGAGGAUUAUAUUGGUAAACGAUCCUUUUCGAAUGCACAGGGAUUGUCAUCAUUAUUGCUCUACUUAAAGAUCCAUUUUUCUUUUUGCCACACCUUUUUGGCUUUUUCUAAUGAUAGAUGUUGUAAGCAUCUUAUCUUUCUGGAUCAUAGCAAUUUUCCAAUACUUUUCAUGAUUAUCUUGGAGCGAAAAGAAGUAAGACGACUAGGAAAGAUGACAUGCGAAUCAUCCUCGUUAUAGAUACGCUAGCUGUUAUGUAAAACAAAGACUUGAUACUCCGUUAAUAACUACACUGAAUACACCAGUAAAUGUAUGAAUUAUAUCAUGUAUUAACUAAGCAAACUAACCAUCAACAAGAUCUCACUAUUUCUGAGAAGGCAAAGGACCUAAGCAAUCUAACCAUCAAAGUCAUUUAUUCUGUACAUAUGUUCAAGUUUUCCAGUUCAAUUGAGAUUCAUUAACAUCGAAGCGGCAUUUGCUCGGCUCAGGCUGCCAAUGUGCACAGUGAUAUGAAAGAAUUUAGGCAUUCCUGGGAACUUUAUGUCCUUAAACAUGCCAUUCUCAGGAUUGUAGGAAACUAGAGCUCCCCAUCUAUACUGCAACAAGAUCUCACCAUUGCUGAGAAGGCAAAGUACGUGAACAUAUCGUUGAUUAAUUACAUUCUUCCAGAUCCUGUAUGUUCGUCGCAUUUCUGGAGACCUAUAUCUCGUCACAUCAUAAGCCCCGAUGCUGAAAACUCUCUCCCAGGACUCUUUCACGCCAUACUCUUUCAUGAUCCAAAUGUCUUGAACCCAAUAAUUUGUAGACGAAGGAUGAACAAUAGACAGACACCCUCCCAGAACACUGAGAGAGUAUCUGUGCCUGAAUAGGUUGACAUCAUUUUCAGGCAAUGGAACUUCACUAAAAAUCUCAUUAGAUAAAUCAAAUGACACGAGAAUUCGGUCAGAUAACAAACCAUGGGUAGUUAGUGAUGUCGAGUGGAGUGUUAUCUUCUCGACUAAUCGGUAUACUCGAGUAUUACCACCAGUGCUUAGUUGGUAUUUGGGCCCGGCAAGGGGGUUGAAUGGUGGACGGAUUGGAGUUAAACGAAAUACUACUGGAUUGGUUACUUUACGUGAAAGUUGACAGAGUGUCAACUGAUACUUGAUCAAGCUCUGGUGAAGCAACGAGAAUUUGGCUCUUGAGAGCCAUCUGUAUCCUUAUAUUUUGAUUGUUAUUCGUAGUGUUAUUGUUUCUUUUAGAAAAAGAAUUUUACACUCGUUCAUUUUGAGAUUGCUACUUGAAGUGUUAUCGCUCACUUUUAUGAACUCUUCAUAUUCGUUACUUUGCUACAUUGGAAACUUGUACGUAUAAAUAAUGGUCAAUUUGCUAUUUGGAACCUCACUGGAUUUUUAGUUCAUUCCACGCUAUUUGUUUUCCUUACAGGGGUACGAAUGAGGCGUGAGACGUGUAUAGACUAGCGUAGUCUAGUUGUUUUGACUUUUGUAAUUGUACUCACACUAGUCGCUCGAUUAGGGUUGAAUGUACUGAGAAUUUAAAUCUUUUGAAGUAUUUGGGACUGUAUGGAUGGUUGAGAUAGAAAUGAAUGUAUACGUGUGUUCCAAACUUGGGAACUAUUAUUUCGUUUAUUUUUUAGAGUGCAUCUUAGUUUAUUUGAUGUGAGUGAGUGAGUCCUGACGAGAGUUGGAUAAGCGGUCCGCUAAACCCUAGGGUACGCUCAGGGGAAGGUGGGGCGUCACACAAAUCCAUUAAAGUAGGAAGAAAGAACCAGAAAAAAAAAACACCCAAAAAAAAGGAAAAAACAGAGAAAAGAAAAGCCCAAAAAGGGAGUCCGAGGAGUAGGAGCAAGGAGCUGCGCUGCUGGUGCUAUUGACGGAGUCCACGAUCACAGCCACCACUACCGUGGGUCAUAACUGGAAAAGCACUAUGAAACUUCGUUGCUCCAUAUGUUGUUUGAAUUUUUCUCUCACCUGUUUGAUAUUAUGUUCAAGAAUUUGGCUUCUUCGCUGUAUCGAUGAAUCUCCCUUCCUUUAAAUUUCCCUUUUGCUUGUUGUCUAUGAUAUGAUUUGUCUAUGGUGGAAUGGGAUUUAGGUGGACUGACAUUCGUUAUUUGUGUAAGCGGCACCUCAAUUAGACCUAGAUUUGUAAAGUUUUGUUGCGCCAAUAAUGGCCCCAAAUGAGAAAUUGAGUUAUAUGGACAAAUUGAUGAAUCUGAGCAUGUGGGGGAGCAAUUCCGAUCAAUUGAAAGUUGAUCGGAGAUCGUGAACGAUGCCGGAAAACCAAGAGGGCCGAGAGAGAACGUUUGAUUUUUUUAAAAAUUAUUUUUAUUUUUAUGUUUUGCUGCAUUUUCUGAGCGGAUCUAGCUAUGUGAUAGUGUGAGAUGUUCGUGUGCAAGAGAGAGAGGAGCCACAGAGUUGUUGUCAUCGGAAGCCGGCGAACUUCAUGAGACGAGAGGAAACAGAGCAGCAACAGUUCUUCUGAAUUGAGGAAGAAGAUGAUGUAUUUCUGGAGAUUUACAAUUUCAGUCCCUAAAUUUCCCUUUCUUUGUGACUUAGCCCCAAUUUUUAGGACUUUAUAAUUUGUCCCCUGGAGCUUGCUUUAGGUAGUUUGGAUUAAGUUCCUAGAAGGGAAAAUCGUUCAAAACGUCCCUCACUUUUAAAAGUGUAAUUUUACGUCCCUUACAAAUUCAUAUUGAUCAAAUUUGGUCCCUACCUAGGUUUUUGACUAGUUUUUGGUCAGAAUUCACCACGUGACUUGCAUGUAAUCAUUUUUUAUAGGCAAAAUUGUCAAAUCAAAUGUUUACAUAAUCUGAUUCAUAGUUCCUAACAUUUUACAAAAUGAAUUUUUUCGUCCCUAACAUUUUACAAAAUGAAUUGUUUCGUUCCUCACAUUUCAAAAAAUGAAUUUUCCAUCCCUCAUAUUUUUCAAAAUGAAUUUUUUCAUCUCUGAUUGAUCAUGUGUAUGAAUAGUUUUUUUCUAUAAACCCACGUAUAUGUCUAUUUGAUUUUAUCUGAACAGUAUGAAUAACAUGUAAUUUAUUUCUAUUGGAUUUCAUCUAAACAUGCUAAUCGUAGUUAUACACAUGCUAUUCAAUAAAUAUAUAUAGGGGUUUAAAACUAAUAAUUUUGUUUGAACUCACGUAUAUAUUUAUAUAAUUUCACCAUUUGAACCUAUUCAAUAUUUGUGACAUUUCUCUUUUGGUAAUAAUUUAUUUAUUGAAUUGUAUAAUAAGGUCAUCUAAUUAAUGAGUCAUAAGUCGAAUUCUAUAAUUGUGCUAAUAAAUUUCAGUUUAAAUAUGAAAUUUCUACUCGACACUUUUAAGACCAAUAAUUAAAUUACUUACCUUGUAAUUGUCUUAAAAUUUGAAAAUGCCAAUCACUUAUUUCUUUUUGUCAUACUUUUCUUUUGUUUAUUUUUUUUGUCCAAAUUUAAUUCGAUAUAACACUCGAUAAUAUUUAGGAUUAAAUGUCUUCCUUAUUUUCAAAUUUCGAGUAAAAGAAAAUGAAUAUAAGUGAAAAACUAAUAAUUUUUUUAAACCCAUGUAUAUAUCUAUUUGAUUUCAUUUGAGCAGUACGAAUAGUAUGUAAUAUAUCUCUAUUUGAUUUCACAUGUUAUUCGUACUGUUCAAGUGAAAUCAAAUAGAUAUAUACAUGAAUUUAAAAUAAAUUAUUCACACACAUGAUCAAUAAAAAAUGAAAAAAUUCAUUUUGAAAAAUGUGAAGGAUGAAAAAAUUCAUUUUGUGAAAUGUAAGGGACGAAAAAAUUUAUUUUAUGAAAUGUGAGGGAUUAUGAAUCGAAUUAUAUAAAAUUUGAUUUGAUAAUUUUGCCCUUAAAAUAUGAUCACGUGCAAGGCACGUGGUGAAUUCCGACAAAAAACUAGUCAAAAACCUAAGUAGGGACCAAAUUUGACCAAUGUGAAUUUGUAAGGGAUAUAAAAUUAUAUUUUUAAAAGUAAGGGAAGAAAAAAGUUAUUUUGUAAAAUGUGAGGGACGUUUUGAACGAUUUUCCCUUCCUAGAAUUGAACUAGUUAACUAUUAGUUUAAAUAGCAUUUCAAUUGGUCAAGUUGUAGUUAAUUUUAUUUUCUCUUUUUAGGAAUAAUGUAACCCUUAACCGGCAUAGGUGCUCGUAAUUUUUGUAUUCUUUUUCUUUUCUUUUCACUUAAUUACUUUUUAUUUUGUUAUUAUUGUGGAAUGAGAUCAUGUGGGCCGCAGGUGCGUUGUCGCUUGGCUUUUCCAAUUCCAAUGGAAGCUUUGGAAUUAAUCAUUCUGUUUUACUUCACUCUUAAGGUGCUGUACAUGUUUUUAUGUGUUUAGAUAUUAGUUAAUUACAUGUUAUGUGCUUAGCUUAAACUUAGUCAUUUUGGCCUUAAAAUUAAGAGAAUAAGAUUAAACUCGCAACCCAUUUUGCCGAACCGUCAAAAAAGGGACCAGAGCAGUGAAUUUGGCCAGAAUUCCUAGAGCUUUGUAUAGUUAUAGAAGAAGAAAAUUAAAAACAAAAGAAGCAUUUUUCAGAAAAAACCCAAAUUCCUCCGUGAAACUAAUGCCACAAUUCUCAAGAAUUAUAGCAAUAAAAUAACAAAAAAAGAUCGAUAGAAUCCUAGACUGGAGAAACCAAUUUUAUCAGAUUUUUUUGGGAAAAAAAUAAAAGAUAUUUAAGAUAAAACCCUAAAUAAGAAUCUCACCAAGGCACUUUGCCAGAGUUGGAGAUGGUUGCCGUCAGAAAUAAUUAUAUUGGUGGUGAUUUUUCAAUCUCUCCAAUCUCCAUCGCUCACUUUCUGUAUCUUUAGCCGCAAAUUCUUUCUUUGUUUUUGUUAGAAUGUGGGAGUAGCGAGCUCUAUUGUAAAGAGCCAUGCAUUUCAAUGAAGGAAAAUAACUUCAGUAACUCAAAGGAGGAAGUUAUUUUCCACCAAGUGAAGUUAUUUUCUUCAGUAACUCAAAAGAGCCGUGCGUUUCAAUGAAGAAAAAUAACUUCAGUAACUCAAAAGAGGAAAUUAUUUUCCACCAAGUGAAGUAAAAUAGUUUCUCCACAGAAAUUUUUUUUUCCAAGUUAAAUGAUUACCAAACACAGGAAAAUUUGGAAAACAUUUUGAGGAAAACAUUUUAUGUCCAAACAAACACACCUGAGUGAUAAGUGAAUAGUUUAUCAUUUAUUUUUGGAAGUAAAUUUUGCCUAAAAAAUUCAAUGUCAUUUAAUUAAUUUAAAUGUUUAAUUUUUGGUUAUGAAACACGUGUGAACAUAUUAAAAUCUGAAACCAUUAAUUUUAAGUGAUAAAUUGGAUUAUUAAACAAGGCCUUAGUCAUAGUGUAGUAUCAAUUCAACGAUUCGUAAGUUUCACUUAUAAGAAUUUAUAAAGACAUGAUUUUUUUUGUGUGUUGGGGAGGGGAGGGGGGAGGGGGGAGGGGGAUGUUAAAGAGGAGACUCCAGAUUUCGCAAAACAGUCUCAAGAUAUGUUCACGUGGGUAAAAAAGAUAACUCAAUUAAAUGGUUGAAAGACAAACUAAACUAUUUGAUACUCGAAUCAAAUUUGGUUUGGUAAGAGUUCAUUUUAACUUGAUUCGCUAAUUAAUCAAACCUACUAAAUAGCAUUUCAUGUUCGAUGAACUUUCAAAUUCGAUUCGAGCUUACUUUGAUUAACUUAAAAUUGGAUUUUUUAGGUAAAAAUUCAAACUAUUCAAACUUGACUCAAUAAAAGCUUGUUUAAAUUCGACUUAAAAAAUAAACAAACCAAAAUUGAACACCAAGGUGUUUGAUUUCAUUAAACUCAUUUACAGCCAUAUGGAUUGAACUUUUAAUAGGUGCAGCAUCAGUCCAAGCCACUCAAGACACUUGUUAACUGAGGUAUGGGUGCAACAUAAAAUUUCUCUUUACCCUCUAAAAUUACUUUCUUUUAGUGUAUUCUAUUUCUACCCUCUCCAACCCCACACCCCCCCCUUCCCCCAUCCCCCAAACACAAAUUUAAAAUUGCAGUUUAUCUUUUGUAUUUCUCAUAUUCAAAACUCCUCAACGCGGUAAUGGAUUCUGAUCUUGAAUUCAGCAAUAUGUAUCGAUCAUUCCAAUCAAUACCCCGGUCGAUUCAUCACCAUUUACGACAACAAAAAAGAUAUUGAGAAUCUUACUUCAAAACCUAUGACAAAAAUCAAAAUAUGCCAUUUCAAACUAUGGUAUCUAUAUUGGUAGCUAGGAAGAGAAUUACACCAUCGCAACAGACAAUAGCCAGGGAGGGAGAGUAAGGUAUAUCGGUGUGGAGAAGAUGUCCAGAUGAGAAUCACAACCAACAAUAACCUUACCACUUUGGUGACAAACCAUUUGAUGAAUUAACUACAUAAUUGAACACUUCAAUCAAGCGAAUCAUAAAGGUCCUUCCUACUGUCAAUAUCUUAAAUUCUGCUAUUAUAUUUGAUCCCCGGAGACCAGAAGGCCAUUAAUUUGCUUGGCUCAGGCUUCCAACGUGUACAACGGUAUGGAAGAAUUUAGGCAUCCCUUUAAACCUUAGAUCCUUAAACAUUCGACUCUCAGGAUUGUAAGAAACUAGGGCUCCCCAUCUGUACUGCAGCAAAAUUUCGCCAUUUUUCAGAAGGCAAAGAACCCGGGCAAAUCGUUCAUCAAGUACAUUCUUCCAAAUCCUGUAUUUUUGCUGCAUUUCUGGUGACUGAAAUGUCGUCACAUAAUAAACCCCAACGCUGAAAACUUUCUCCCAGGACUCUUUCACCCCGUAUUGUUUCAUAAUCCAAAUGUCUUGAGCCCCGUAAUUAGUAUUUGAAGGAUCAACAACAGACAGAAAACCUCCGAGAACACUGAGAGAAUACCGGUGUCGGAUUAAGUAAAGAUGAUUUUCUGGCAGUGGGACUUCUCUAAAAAGCUCAUCAGAUAAAUCAAAUGACACCAGAUCCGUUCCCGACGAGCAUGAUUCUUUCCCCAUAUACUCACCCAGUGAAGCCUUCCGUUUACAAAAACUCCCCCUGAUGACUGAUCUAGCUUGUAAGGUAUGUCUCCAAUAAUAACUCUCCAUUUUUCACUGCUCUGAUAGAAUACUUGAACCUCUGAUCUUGGAAAAUUUUGAGCCCUGAAUCUCAGCGAUCUGAGUGGAGAUAAUUCAUAUAAAUUCCAGUAGUAGACUAUCCUUACUACGCGAUAUUCAUUGGUAUGAGGAUGAACUCCGAAUCCUAUUAUCACUUCUUGGUCCUGGAAUUCAGUGGAUUUUGGUAACACUUUAUAGUCUCGGGUGAAGGGAUUAUAAACGUAUGGUCCAUCAUUGACCAAAGUACUCGACAAGCAUAGCAGGCCAUUACACGAGCUAACAAUUCGAAAUUCAGGCAAAGUACUAGAAAAGGGAGUAUGAAUUCUUCUGAGUACAUUUUUUUCAUGAUCUUGAUGAGAAAAUUCAACAAAAUAAAGCUGAUUGUUCAAUGGAAAAUCACAAUGAAAGAUGAGGGCUAUGUCGUUGUUUUUUAAUGCUCUGGUGAGAUGCAAAUUAGCAAGAUCUGAUCAAGUGACAACUUGUGGCAACUUCGACAAACAUACCUGAAUUGGAUGACGGAUUUUACGUGUAGUCUGGAAAUUAUGUCGAGGGCGAUUUCUUGAGGUAGACUAUAAAGAUUAUUUCCAGGCUGAUGAUGUUCUUUUGGAGUUGAUUUUCUUCUCUUGGAUUCUCUCUCAAUUUCCAUGUCUUCCAUGAUGGUAGUAGAAAAUGUGAACGUUUCAAGGUUUGAGGUGGCGGCUAGACUGCUUUAGGCUUGGACUUAAUUAUAAGGUUUAAUUGCACUUACUUCCCUCGAGCUUUGUCCAUAUUACCAAACAACCUUGUAGUUUGUCCAAAUAACAUUUACCCCCUUGUCAUUGACGGUUCAUAAACUCUGUUAACUGAUGUCACAAGAUGAUAAAAUUGCCCUUCAAAACAAAAACAAGAUUAUUGUUAUAAAAGAACUUAAUAUUUAGGCAUAAAAAAAAUGUCCAAAGGAGAAAUGAAGUAUCUUAGUAAGCAAAGCUAAAGAAAAGAAAGAUAGUAACAUUAAGAGUAAAAAAUUUGCUGCAAAAAAAAAAAGAAAAUGAAGAAAAAUACAUGUUGAGAGAUAUCAAACAGACAAAGAGUAACUAUGAAAAAAAAAGAAAGUAAAAUAUAAAUAAAUUAGCGACUGCCUAUUUAAUAAAUAAAAAAAAGAUAAUUGAGAGGGAUACUGAAGCAUCGAUCUUCUUUUCCUUUAUCACUCUCUCCGCUAGCUCCCAACACAAUUUGCCUCCAUCUCUUUACCUCAACAGACACCCCCUUCUUCAUCUUCUCUGCUACUACACAUGCACACUAAGAGAUUAGCAGUUUGCACUCUCAAAUGCACCUUUUGAAGAAAAGAUUGUAUUCCAGUAGCAUCUAGCGAGAGAUUAAGGAUUGGAAAGGCCAAAAUAGGAGAAAGUAAUUGUAAUUUAUGGACUCUAUCUUGGUGUUGGCAUAACGAGGUUCUAGAUCAGUUUGAGACCUUAUGACGAUAAGUUUAUGCUUUCAGUUAUUGAUUUGAGUUUGUUGGUGGUUAAAUGUAAGGCUAUAAGUUAUGCAUAUUUUGUGAUGUUUUAUGGAGCUUUUCUUUUUUCUCCCCCUAUUUUUUCACCUUAUCAUGGAACUGAGUUUUUCUUUUUUCUUUUUUUUUGUGCAAAGGUGAAAAUUUCUACGAGUCUAACAUUGAUUGUAAUUUUGUGGGAGUUACUACUUUGAAGAAAUAAAGGUAUUUGAACCCCCAAAAAAAAAAAGAUUCAAGUGAUGGACAUGGAAUUAUUGGCUGCCAGUAGUUGAAAUCUCAAACUAGUAUAGAGAAAGCAGGGAGAAGAAGACAAAGUAGGGUUUUGAGGUUAAUUUUGGACUUUCACGAAAAUUUCAUGUUGACAUCCUUCACUGUGUAUCAGUCAACGUUAGCAAUAUAACGAUAAGAGUUACUUGUUAUGCAUUACAGCCUGAGGGACCUUUUUGUAGUUUGUCCAAGCUUGAGGGUUGAUUCGUAGUUUGGUUAAAUCUCAAUUGAGGUGAACAUAAUUAACUCUAAUUAUAAUGCUAGUAGGAAAAACUUGGGGGAGACGUUGAUUUGACUCAUUAAUUGGACCGUAAUCGGUGUUUUUUUUUUUGCUAUUUGUCGGUAUUGAAGUAUCAAGAGAAGGAGAGAGAAUGCUUUGUUCAUGAAUGAUGAUGCGAGGUUUGAUGCUAUUACGGAGUGUGGGAAUCCACAGAUGGUGCUCUAUUUUACUUUAAGAUUAAUUGCAACUUAGAUUCCUAACUAUAUUGGGCUAUACUUUUGCACCCUAAAAUUUUUGCAUCUUUUAAAUUAGAGUUUUUCUAUUUGCAAUAAUGACUUUAAAAUUUGCUAAUUGCAAGUGUGUCUAUGAUAUGCUUCUUGAAAUGGUGAUUUUAUGUCCCUUUACCAACAACCUUUUGGUAAAAUAGUUCACUAUAUUGAUCUUUACUAGGUCAUAUUCCAUUUUAUUGUUAGAGUUCAUCCAUUAUUUCUAUUUAGCAAGCAACUAAAAUUUGCAUCCUCUAUAUUCUAAAUGUCUUUACUUGGUUUUUGUGGGUUUCAUAGAGUGAAUAUAUGCAAAAAGAUAAAAGUAUUUUCUAAAAGAAAACACUAUGAAGAUGUGGAACUAAAGUAUGGCCAUACUUGAGAAUUGGUUUCCUCUUCGCAAAACUACUGAAAUUUUGCCACAUUGCAUUUAUAAAUUUUAACCUCCUUGUUAUUUGCAUCAUAACUAUCGCUAAGAACCACACUACAUGGUAGGAGGCGUAAAAAAUGAUGACUUAAGCAGGUUCGGAUAGGUUAUAAUUGAGUAAUGGAUAUAAUUGAAUCAACUCAUCUAUACCGAUUUAAUAAAUGAAUCAAAUGAGUCAACUCAUUUAUAUUCAUUCAAUAAAUGAGUAUGGUAUAUAACUAAUUACUCAUUUAUGACCACUUGAAUUUUUACUUGCUCUUUUUUCUUGUUCUUUUGGAUGUUGUUUCAUAAGAAAUAACAAUAUUUUAUUAUUAUUGGAUUGAUAAGAAAUUCAAAUUUAUCCGUUUAACAUCCACCAAAGCUUGGGAUUAAAUAUCCAAUUAUUUUUAAAUGUAUAUAGAUGGUUUUGAGUCAAUCUAUUACCUACCAAUUAUUUUUUAAUUGAGUUUAAUUGAGUCAUAAAUCUAAACCCUUUCAAAAUUCACUGCAUACCCAAAUUCACUUAUUAGUGGGCGAGUUUGGACAAGUCAAUAUUACAACUACUUUGAUACCUAUAGUACAAGGUGUGACUCCAUUAAAAGUCACCAUACGGAUUAGCAAAUUUGAAGUUGCUGAUUGAAACAGCGACUUUAAAUGGAUAUUUCAAAUGGCAAUUUUUUUUUUGGAAGGCUAAAACAUGCUGGACUUGUUUCGAAUUAUCAAUAAAUAGAGGAUUAUAUUGGUAAACGAUCCUUUUCGAAUGCACAGGGAUUGUCAUCAUUAUUGCUCUACUUAAAGAUCCAUUUUUCUUUUUGCCACACCUUUUUGGCUUUUUCUAAUGAUAGAUGUUGUAAGCAUCUUAUCUUUCUGGAUCAUAGCAAUUUUCCAAUACUUUCAUGAUUAUCUUGGAGCGAAAGAAGUAAGACGACUAGGAAAGAUGACAUGCGAAUCAUCCUCGUUAUAGAUACGCUAGCUUAUGUAAAACAAAGACUUGAUACUCCGUUAAUAACUACACUGAAUACACCAGUAAAUGUAUGAAUUAUAUCAUGUAUUAACUAAGCAAACUAACCAUCAACAAGAUCUCACUAUUUCUGAGAAGGCAAAGGACCUAAGCAAUCUAACCAUCAAAGUCAUUUAUUCUGUACAUAUGUUCAAGUUUUCCAGUUCAAUUGAGAUUCAUUAACAUCGAAGCGGCAUUUGCUCGGCUCAGGCUGCCAAUGUGCACAGUGAUAUGAAAGAAUUUAGGCAUUCCUGGGAACUUUAUGUCCUUAAACAUGCCAUUCUCAGGAUUGUAGGAAACUAGAGCUCCCCAUCUAUACUGCAACAAGAUCUCACCAUUGCUGAGAAGGCAAAGUACGUGAACAUAUCGUUGAUUAAUUACAUUCUUCCAGAUCCUGUAUGUUCGUCGCAUUUCUGGAGACCUAUAUCUCGUCACAUCAUAAGCCCCGAUGCUGAAAACUCUCUCCCAGGACUCUUUCACGCCAUACUCUUUCAUGAUCCAAAUGUCUUGAACCCAAUAAUUUGUAGACGAAGGAUGAACAAUAGACAGACACCCUCCCAGAACACUGAGAGAGUAUCUGUGCCUGAAUAGGUUGACAUCAUUUUCAGGCAAUGGAACUUCACUAAAAAUCUCAUUAGAUAAAUCAAAUGACACGAGAAUUCGGUCACGUCGACAGUGAUUCUUGCCCCAUAGACUUACCCAAUGAAGCUUUCCAUUGACAAAAUACCCCUCCUGAUGAUUGAUCUAGUUUAUAAGGUAUGUCUCCGAUAACCUCCACUUUUCACUGCCCUGGCAAAAUAUUUGAACUUCUGAUCCUGGAAAAUUCCGAUACCUGAACCUUCGCGACAUACGUGGAGUAAUUCAUACAAAUUCCAAUAAUAGACUAUCCUUAUUACACGAUAUUCAUUGGUAUUAGGAUGGAAUCCAAAUCCUAAUACAACAUCUUGGUCCUGGAAUUCAGUGGAUUUUGGUAGCACUUUAUAAUCUCCCGCUAAAAGGAUUAUAAACAUAUGGUCCAUCAUGAAACAAAGAGUUGGACAAACAAAGUAGGCCAUUGCAAGAGCUAACGACUUGAAAUUCAGGCAUGAAGGUGGAAAAAGGAGUCUGAAUUUUUCUUAAUACAUCUUUGUCAGGAUUCUGAUCAGCAAAUUCAACAAAAUAAAGUUGAUUGUUUACAGGAUAAUCGCAAUGAAAGAUCAGAGAUAUGUCCUUGUUUUCUAAUGCACGCGUGAGAUGCAAAUUAACAAGAUCAAGAUCAUGUGACAACUUGUUCCAACUUCGGCAAACAAACCUGAAUUGGAUGACGGACUUUAUGUAUAGUCUGGAAAUUAUGUCGAGAGCAACUUCUUGAGGUAGAUUUUCAAAACAAUUUCCUGGUCCUGGGUGAUGAUGCUCAUCAUUUGAAGUUGAUUUCCUUCUCUUGCUUUCUCUCUCAAUUUCCAUGUCUUCCAUGACAAAUGUGAACAUGUCAAGGGUUGAGUUCAUGGCUAGACUGCUUAAAGUCGCAGGACGGAAUGUGUGUGUGUGUGUGUAGGUCCGACGUAUUAAUUGGACUCUAGCUGGCGUCUUUUUUCAAAUGGGGCGGAGAUAUCCAGAGAAAGAAAGAAUAUGCUUUGUUUCACGAAGGUUGAUGCAAGCACGGCAGGGCCUAAUAAAAUUGAGUUCACACAUGUUAGCAUUCAUGUAUGAAUUGAUAUGCCCAAAGUAUAAAUAGUCACUCAUAAAUAUACACUUAUGCACAAAUAAAAAUAAAAUGAGGAUUUUAUGUUUUCUUUCAGGGAUAAUUUCAGGAACCUCCCUUGAGGUUUAAUGACAAUUUUACCUAACACCCCUAUUAUUUUGAAUAUUGCUGAUACCGGAUUUGGGUAACAAAAAUCAAAUUAAAUACCCAAUCUACCCUUUUGCUAAAAAAAGAGAAGAAGAAAACAAACUACUCUAACGCUUUCAUUUUAAGUGUCAAAACCAGUACUGCUAAUACUUUUGCCACUACCAACACCAUAAGACCACUAAUGCUAAUACUUUUGCCACCAUAAUGGCCACAAGUAAAAUCAUUCAAAAUGUGUCUCACAUUUUCCCAAAUGUUUUUUUUUUUUAUUUUUAAAAUAGUAACAUUAUGUCCCAUAUAAAAUUGAAUCGAUAAAAUUUGGUCUCAACUUAAAUUUUUGAUUAUUUUUUACCUUGAAUCUAUCACAUGAUCCACACAUAAUUAUUUUUUAAUGCAAAAAAGUUAGAUUCCAUUUGUAGUUAAACAAAUGACUUGAUUCAUAUUCAUUUUUCCCGUAAAAAGUAUGAUAUUGACUUGAACUAUAUUCAUUUUUUCCCCAAAAAAAUAAGAUUUGACCCAAUCCAUAUUCAUGUUUUACUACUAAAAGAGUGGACUUUGACAUUUUGUACACAAAAAAUGAUCACAUGUGAAUCACGUGAUCAUUUUAGGCUAACAAGUGAUCGAAAACUUAGGUUGGUACCAAAUUUUGCUAAUUUGAAUUUGUACGAACGUAAAGUUAACAUUUUAAAGGUGAAGGAGGAAAAAAUUCAUUUGGCAAAAUGUGAGAAAAGUUUUGAAUGAUGUUCCCUAAUCACACAAAUUACUAGCUACCAAAAGGGGCUAUUAGAGUUUUUCUUGCUAUCAGAUCUUGGAUUCGAAUUUUACGCUUGGCAAUUGGGGUGUGGAGGGUAUUGGGAAGGUGGGAAGGUUUAAAAAAAACCAGCUAAAAAAUAUAAAUGAAAAAGAACAAAAUGUGAUUAAUAAAUAUAUAAAGUGGUUCCAUAGACUUUUUAUUUUAAAGCAAGAAUUAACAUUUUCAUUGAUUCAAAAAAAUGAUUACGCAAUGAUGCAAAAUGGCUUAAAGUACAUCAAGGAUCACUGUAACAAGGCACAAAAAAGAAAGAAAGAAACAUAAAAAGCUUGAAAAGAAUGUGACUUGCGUCGUGUUUCCUUCUUCUUCAAUUAUGUUAGGUACAAACUUUGAAUGUAUGAGCAUUUUCAAAGUGAUAUGUUAUUUAUAUCUUUAUUUUAUCCCUUGUACAUUACUAGCGAAUGAAUUACAUUGCUUGAGUUCAUUUAGGGUCUAGGACUAGUUAAAGUUACUACAUAUUUUUAAGUAGCUAGGGAUUUGAAGCGAAGUUCAUUUUAAUGGCUUUAAGGUACAAGAUAAGUACAUGAAAAAUAAUGAGUUUAUUGAUAGGUAUGAAAUAGGUGUUUUUCAGUGUGUUGUUCACUGUAUAAUUGUAUUUUCGGGUGUUUUUAAAAAUUUAAAACUUUUUUUAAGGAUAUUUUUACAAUUUUUACUAUUUCCCAAUUCUCUUCUCCCUCUCUUCCUCUUAAGGAAAAACACGGGGAAGGGAGGGGAUGGGGAAAACAGAGAGGAACAAAGGAAAAUGGAUGGUAAGGGAGGCAGGAGGAGAAGGAGAGAUGGUAGGACUAAGGGUAGUGGUGGCAGGAGGUGAGAGGUGAUGGUGGAGGAAGAAAGGGUAGGUCUCUUAUUUGGUAUGUAAAUUGAGUUUUAAGUUAAGGCUAGUAUCCUCAUUUCCUAAAAACAAGGAAAACAAGUGUAAUAUUUAAAAUAAGAGGAAUGCUAAGCGAAAUUGUUAUAAAAGCCCAAGGGUGGUUUAUGAAAUUAUCCCUUUCUUUUGUGGUUUUUCUUAGGUAAUAUACAGGAAAAAUCUCCUGCAAUUAAGUAAAUCUACAAAAAAAGCCUCAUAUAGUUUCAAAAUAUAUAUUUCAGUACCCGUGAUAUGACUAAUUUAAAAAAGAGUGAAAAUCAUUUGAAUUAAUUAGUUUGAAAUACACGCUUCUCUUUUGCAAGCAUUUAUACUAGAAACACUCAAAUUUUCAGUAGAUAUACCUAUUGUACACUUAGAAUUAUAUUUAGAAAAGUCUCCUGUGGUUUGAAAAAACCCUCUAUGGUUUGAAGUCCCCUGCCAUUCAGCAAACCUAUAGAAAAAACUCCUUAUGAUAUUUCAAAUCAUACAAUUUGGUACUUCAUGGUUUGAACUAAUGUGAAAUAUCGAUAAAAAUCAUUUAAAUUAAUGAGUCUGAGUGUGCUUGAACUAGGAAAUAACUUUUAAAAUCAAAUUUUUAGCUAAUAUCAUAUUAAAUCCCUUAGAGCUCAUAAAAUUCUCAAAAACAAUCCAAAACUCCCAAACACAAUUUACCUCAUUUCUAUACAUAAAAUAAAUAAAUAAAUAAUCCCAAAUACAAGUCAACUUAUUCUACACACAAAAUAGAUAAAUAAAAAAUGCCCAAAUAUAGCUCAACUAAUUUGCAUACACAAGAUAAAUAAUAAAUAUAAAUAUACCACCCUCAUCUCUUCCUCCACCAUCACUGUUCACCUUCCACCGCCAUCCUCCCUUCUAUCACAACACCUUCCUCCCCCCUCUUCUCCUCUCCCUUGCAUCCCGCUCCCUCUCGUCUCCUCCCAGCCAUUUCUACUUCUCCGAACUCUCUCUCGUUUCAGCGACCAUAGCUAGCCAUGGGAGAGAGGGAACCGGGUGCAGGGAAGGGAUCACGACCAGAUUGCCCCUUUCUCGCACCCCAUGCCCUCCCUCCUAUGAUAAUUUUGGUCAUGGGAAGCAGGUGAAGAGAUGCGAAAAAGGGGACUGCAACGGGAGGGAAUAGGGGGUGCAGGGGAAGGAAAGAAAGAGAAAGAGAGAGGAGGAAAAAGGAGACGGAUAGGGAUGUGGUAGAGGGGAGGGUGGCCAUAGAAGGUGGAGAAGCAAUUGGUAAUCAUAAGGGAUUUUUCCGUAGGUUGGAUUAACUAACCACAAGGGUUUUUUCAUAGGUUUGCUUAACUAGGAUGUUUGUUAGAAGGUUUUUUUUUUGCUUAUAUAUAUACAUAUAUAUAUAUAUAUAUAUAUAUAUAUAUAUGUAUAUAUAUAUAAAAGAAAUUGUGUUAUUUUCCUCCGCUUCUAUUAGUUAUGAUAAUUUUAUUGCUGUUUCAAAUUAGUUCAAACCACGAUGAGUUGGAGUAUAUGAUUUAAAAUCAUAGGAGCUUUUUCAUAGAUUAGCUUAAUAAGAGUGAUUUAUUUUGUAUUUUACACUUCUUCUUAAGCAUCGAUUCUUCGCAUGUCUAAUCUCGACCAUUAACUUUUUGACCAAUCAUUCUUCCUCUUUAUUCUAGGUAGAUUAUAAUGUUACGAAGGAUAGGUAGUCUAUAGUGUUGGACUCCACUUUAAUUCAACAGUGUCCGGGGCCAUUUAUUUAAUUCUUACGGAAUUGCAAUUCGACAUAUUGCAAAAUAUGGAAUUUUAAUUCUGAAAAUCUUCUGCAGACACGUUUUGUUUAUGUAACUCUUAUAAUUGUAUCCUUCCCUAUCUUAUUCACAACUUCCUGCCCAUCCUAUUCUAACAACUUCCAAGCCGAAUUCUGAAGAUUUAAAUUCAGUAAUCAUCAUGGAUAAUGUGUAAUAAGGUCCUUCGGCAAUGUCAUGUGCUUACCUAUAAAUGCUUUAACUUCAUCACUUCAUGCUAUUGUUUAGAAAUCAGUAUCAAUAAAUUUCUCUUUAAGAACCUUUACUAUUCUCUUAGAUUAUGAUGACAAAACGUUUUCAUGUAUUACCCCAGUAGGAAGUCUUGUGUGGUGGUUUAGUUAUUAUAUGGUGGAUGGAGUCCGGAUCUGCAAGUCAUUGGCCUGAGCAAGUGAAGCGGUGGAAGGAAACGGUAAUUAUAGGGUCGCAGCAACAUAUGUGCAAUUUGGUAUUGAAUUAUUUCAAAAGUAGUUUGGGCAUUUGAAGCAGAAUUACUCUAUAAGUAAGAUAAUUGCUCUAAUGACAUCACCAAUCUAAAGUGAAUUCAAGUAUGAUCCUUUUUUCAAUAAUUUUUUUUUGGGUAAGUUGGAUAGUUGUAGAUUUUGUUUAUAAACAAAAAUCAAUUUUAUGGGUUUGAGUAAAUGAUUUUCUAGGAUUUAUCCGUGUAAUCUCCUCGGGACCAUACCACCCUAUUUGCCUAUAGAUACACCUCCAGUUAAAUUUGAAGAGAAAUCAACACGUUGUGUACAAAAAUACAUACAAGUUCGUAAAUUUACAAAUUAAGUCAUUUGAUAAGUUUAAUAGCUGAAUAACCAGAGACUUUACAGUCAUAAUAUUGUCCUGUGGCUUCUAUUUACCCUUUGUUAUUUCUUGAUCAAAAUGCGUGAUGAUUCGAAUGAAUAUUAAACCACUUAUAGUAACAACUAUUUGGUUUAUUAUACCCAGACCAUAUUCCACAUAAAAAACUCGACUUGGAAGUCAUGACACGUAAAGAUCACAAAGACAAAUUUCAACUUUUUCGAGUGUAACAAACUCGCUCAAAAUUUGCCGAGCAACAUUCUAAUGGAGUCAUGAGAUACGCUUCGUCUAUAGACUUCUCGACAUGAACAAUGAAUCAGCUUGCAAUGCCAAGAGAAUUUCCAUUACCAAGAGGUGUUAGGCCAAAAUCCGAAAGAAUAUCAGGUAUUAUAAGGCUGCUUUUGUCAUUAUUGCUGCAUAAAAUGAGGCUAGCCUAAACAUUAUAGAUGACAACCAAUAAUCUUACUACAGCAACAAAAGAAAUUUCAAGAGAAGAAAGUGGGACUUCAUGGAGGAUGACUCCACGAGUACUGCUAAUCAUUUCAAAGAUCGUUGAAGACUGCAAAUAAAUCACCACUGAUGUAAUC